rnacentral:rRNA from 1 species
AUUGAACGCUGGCGGCAGGCCUAACACAUGCAAGUCGAGCGGAAGAAGAGUAAGAGCUUGUGGAUUCAGCGGGGGAGGGGUGGGUGGUGGCUAGGAACAUCCCUGGUUGCGGGGGAUAACGUGCGGAAGCAGGCGCUCAUACGGCAUACGCGCUGACGGCGAACGUGUGAAAUCAUCGGACCUUCGGCUAUCGGAUGAGCCUAGGUCGGAUUAGCUAGUUGGUGGGGUAAAGGCCUACCAAGGCGACGAUCCGUAACUGGUCUGAGAGGAUGAUCAGCCACACUGGAACUGAGACACGGUCCAGACUCCUACGGGAGGCAGCAGUGGGGAAUAUUGGACAAUGGGCGAAAGCCUGAUCCAGCCAUGCCGCGUGUGUGAAGAAGGCCUUCGGAUUGUAAAGCACUUUUGGUUGGGAAGAAGAGCAGCAGGUUAAUACCCCGCUGUUUUGACGUUACCCACAGAAUAAGCACCGGCUAACUUCGUG